UCUCUCUCUCUCUAUACACGUCACCUUCCCCCUUCUCUCUCAUCACUCUCGCCGCCCUCCACCCUCUUUCUCCCUACCUCUCUUCCCUCUUCUCUCCUGCCGGCGCCGCCCCAUCACACGUCACCUUCCCCCCGUCGGACCCUCCCCCUCCCCAGAACCGCAUCGCUGCUCUCGGCGGUGCGCCCCAUCACAGCCACCUUCCCAUCGAUGCGCCAGCCGCGCCAUGACGCUGCCCGAGCACAGCAGCUCGCCGCCGCCCGAACAGAAGCCGGCGAGAGUCGGGCGAAAUCGUGCAGAUCCAGAGCCUCCGCGGCACGCACCACCNUAUACACGUCACCUUCCCCCUUCUCUCUCAUCACUCUCGCCGCCCUCCACCCUCUUUCUCCCUACCUCUCUUCCCUCUUCUCUCCUGCCGGCGCCGCCCCAUCACACGUCACCUUCCCCCCACCGCACCCUCCCCCUCCCCAGAACCGCAUCGCUGCUCUCGGCGGUGCGCCCCAUCACAGCCACCUUCCCAUCGAUGCGCCAGCCGCGCCAUGACGCUGCCCGAGCACAGCAGCUCGCCGCCGCCCGAACAGAAGCCGGCGAGAGUCGGGCGAAAUCGUGCAGAUCCAGAGCCUCCGCGGCACGCACCACCUAGAUCUGUUGCUCAGUCAAACCGCGCGACUCACCGCAGCACCCACUCACAGUUUCAGAUUCGAAAACUCAGGAGCUCCCACCUCCUUCUCCGGUCACCAUCCGGACUUGACGGAUAAGAGUGGUCUGAAAACCGCCGCGAUAGAGCCCGCCGCCGCCUCUAGCCAGCCUAUCAGGCUUCGCCGUCGGAUCCAGGAGAGCC
rnacentral:lncRNA from 1 species